UACGGAGGGCGCAAGCGUUAAUCGGAAUCACUGGGCGUAAAGCGCUCGUAGGCGGCUUGGUCAGUCAGAUGUGAAAGCCCUCGGCUUAACCGGGGAACUGCAUUUGAUACUGCCAGGCUUGAGUGUCGGAGAGGGUGGCGGAAUUCCAGGUGUAGGAGUGAAAUCCGUAGAUAUCUGGAGGAACACCAGUGGCGAAGGCGGCCACCGGGACGAAAACUGACGCUGAGGAGCGAAAGCGUGGGUAGCAAACAGG
rnacentral:rRNA from 1 species